rnacentral:rRNA from 1 species
UACAGAGGUCUCAAGCGUUGUUCGGAUUCAUUGGGCGUAAAGGGUGCGUAGGCGGCGCGGUAAGUCGGGUGUGAAAUCUCGGAGCUUAACUCGAAACUGCAUUCGAUACUGCCGUGCUUGAGGACUGGAGAGGAGACUGGAAUUUACGGUGUAGCGGUGAAAUGCGUAGAUAUCGUAAGGAAGACCAGUGGCGAAGGCGGGUCUCUGGACAGUUCCUGACGCUGAGGCACAAAGGUCAGGGGAGCAAACGGG